ACGCAAAACUUCUGGUAUUCUUCAUGCUGCCUUAAGCUUUGGAACUCCCUUUUCUUGUCACCUCUCCCUUGUUCCUGUUGGAUAUAUAAUGUCUUGCGUUCCCUGCUUGACUAUAGAUUCUUGGCUGACAUAGCCAGUAUGACAUGUUCCUCUGAGAGCCCUUCACUGCGGCUGGCCACAUACCUUGGCUUGGUAGACAGCUAGAAUGACUGGAAAGACUAUUGCUCCCUCCUCUCUCCUCAGGGGAGCCGCUCACAUAUACUCACUGUUUUCUUACCUGUCCCAGGCCAGUAUCUAUCUUAAAAGGAGGCAGGCGCCAGCCUCUUCCUCUUCUCAAAGGGAUUCUGUAAGGAUUUAUAACGUGUGCAUCAAGAAACCUCGGUGGGCGUGGAGAAAUGGAGCCAUUGCAACAAUAUGGGAAGACUGUACUCCAACCCCAGUGGAGAAACUUUGAGGCCUACACUUAAAAAAAAUAAGAAAAUAAAAAAAGAAAA
rnacentral:lncRNA from 1 species